rnacentral:rRNA from 1 species
CCCUUAGAGUUUGAUCCUGGCUCAGAAUGAACGCUGGCGGCAUGCCUAACACAUGCAAGUCGAACGAAGGCUUCGGCCUUAGUGGCGCACGGGUGCGUAACGCGUGGGAAUCUGCCCCUUGGUUCGGAAUAACAGCGAGAAAUUGCUGCUAAUACCGGAUAAUGACGUAAGUCCAAAGAUUUAUCGCCUAGGGAUGAGCCCGCGUAGGAUUAGCUAGUUGGUGUGGUAAAGGCGCACCAAGGCGACGAUCCUUAGCUGGUCUGAGAGGAUGAUCAGCCACACUGGGACUGAGACACGGCCCAGACUCCUACGGGAGGCAGCAGUGGGGAGUAUUGGACAAUGGGCGAAAGCCUGAUCCAGCAAUGCCGCGUGAGUGAUGAAGGCCUUAGGGUUGUAAAGCUCUUUUACCCGGGAUGAUAAUGACAGUACCGGGAGAAUAAGCUCCGGCUAACUCCGUGCCAGCAGCCGCGGUAAUACGGAGGGAGCUAGCGUUAUUCGGAAUUACUGGGCGUAAAGCGCACGUAGGCGGCUUUGUAAGUUAGAGGUGAAAGCCUGGAGCUCAACUCCAGAAUUGCCUUUAAGACUGCAUCGCUUGAAUCCAGGAGAGGUGAGUGGAAUUCCGAGUGUAGAGGUGAAAUUCGUAGAUAUUCGGAAGAACACCAGUGGCGAAGCGGCUCACUGGACUGGUAUUGACGCUGAGUGCGAAAGCGUGGGGAGCAACAGAUAGAUACCC